rnacentral:rRNA from 1 species
UACGUAGGGGGGCAAGCGUUGUCCGGAAUCAUUGGGCGUAAAGCGCGUGUAGGCGGCUGGGUAAGUCCGCUCUGAAAGCCCGGGGCUCAACCCCGGGAGGCGGGUGGAUACUGCUCAGCUCGAGUCCCGGAAGAGGAGUGUGGAAUUCCUGGUGUAGCGGUGAAAUGCGCAGAUAUCAGGAGGAACACCAAUUGCGAAGGCAGCUCGCUGGGACGUACUGACGCUGGAGCACGCGAAAGCGUGGGGAGAAACAGGAUAGAA